CCCUGGUAUGAGACUUUAUCCUCAUGGGUUUUGAACCUGGACCACAGACCAAGCUAAGGACUGGCUUUCAGGUCAGACAGGACCCGGCCAAGAGCUGGCAUCAAAAGGCUUCCUUUGGGAAAGAGCACAGAGAGGGGAGAGGGGAGGUCCAGGCAUUUGGGUUGGGCAGGCAGCCCACGCAGCUGUCUGGAGUUAGCGGUCUCCUCAGAAAACAGAGCCGAC
rnacentral:lncRNA from 1 species